GACGAACCGUGCGAACGUUGUUCGGAUUCACUGGGCUUAAAGGGCGCGUAGGCGGCUUGCCAAGUCAGGGGUGAAAUCUUUCGGCUCAGCCGGAAAAGUGCUUCUGAUACUGGCGGGCUGGAGGAGGGUAGGGGCAGAUGGAACUUCCGGUGGAGCGGUGAAAUGCGUAGAUAUCGGAAGGAACGCCGGUGGCGAAAGCGAUCUGCUGGACCCUUUCUGACGCUGAGGCGCGAAAGCCAGGGGAGCAAACGGG
rnacentral:rRNA from 1 species